ensembl:lncRNA
ACGCAGUGGGGUGGGGGAAUGGGGGACUGUGGCAGGCAGGUUAAUAGGUGAACUAAACACAGGUUUUAAUUUGGAAACAUGAAAAACCGGAUGAAUUCUCCUGUAUACCGGAGGAAGUUUGAGGCGAACUGCCACUGGACUAAGGAUCUUAGUGACAGUGAAUGGACCAAUAAAUUUCCGAGCAAGCUUUUUACAAACGGGAGGCUGAGGCUGGUGGCAAUUGGCUUGGGCCUUAGUGCGUGCCUGCACCCAGGGAAGAGCCGACCUGGCCUUUCUCCAGGUGUGGCGGCACCUCUAAACAAAGGCGUGAGAUGAGGAGACCGCAAAUUCAGUUUCCAGGUUCUGAAAAAUAGGUGGAUGGUAACCUAGACUACCUUUAAACGGAGAGAGUCCCGUGGACGAAAUUGGUAAUGGGUUAUCCACAUACUCAUCCCAUGAGAGCUGCUGGCUCCAAGGGGAUGGAUUCUGAGACACCUACGCUUUGAUGACAGGUCCACCCGGAGUGAUCGAGCAAAGACUGAUAAGUUUGCUGCAAUUUCCAGUGUGUGGGGAUCAUUUGUCACCAAUUGCAUCACGUCCUACAACCCUGGUCUACAUAUCACCGUUGAUGAACAGCUUUUCCCGUCAAAGACUCGCUGCUGUUUCCUGCAGUAUAUUGCAACUAAACCUGACAAGUUUGGGAUCAAGUUUUGGGUGGCUUGCGACCUAAAAUCCAAGUACAUUUGUAAUGUCCUCCCAUAUCUUGGCAAGGACCCUAGUCGUCCCAGUGGAGAGAGACUGUCUGAAAAUGUAGUGAUGAGGCUGAUGGAACCAUUCCUAGACAAGGGCAGAAAUGUUACCACGGACAAUUUCUUCACAUCGCUGUCACUUGCGCAUAAACUUCUUAGCCGGAAAACCACCAUCCUCGGCACAGUCAACAAGAUUCGCCGGGAAAUCCCUCAAUCCGCUAGACACACAGAUCGCAAUGAAUUCACCACUCAGGUGUUUUCAACCACUGCUGCUACGCUGACGGCGUAUGCGCCCAAACGGAAGAAGACCGUCUACAUUCUUAGCAGCAUGCACAGCGUGAUUCAGACUGAUAAUACCACCAAAAGGAAGCCAAACACUGUCACCCUUUACAACACCACAAAGUGCGGCGUGGAUGUGAUGGACCAGAUGGUGCGGGAGUACACUGUCCGCACAGGGACACGGCGCUGGCCAGUUGCCGUGUUCUAUAACAUGAUUGACAUGGCAGCACUGAAUGCACAUGUGCUGUAUCAAGCAUGCACCGGAAGGCAGGAAAGACGGGUGGACUUCCUGGUGGAGCUUGCAAGAGAGUUGGCUAACUCUCAUAUGUGUGCGAAGAAGGCAAGAAAAGAACAAUUGCUUCGGACACAACCCUCCACACCUAGCCCUGGAAAAAGAGCCAUGUGUCAGGUCAAACACCAAUGCAAGAACAAUCAUGCCACUGUGCGAUGUGUUCACUGCUACAGAUACACAUGUGGUAAAUGCAGACGGGAGAUACCAUGGCAGUGCCAGGAUUGUGAGUGAUUGCUGGAAUGUACUCACUCACUUUUUAAUAUUAUUUGUAAAUAUGUGUACAAAUGGUUGGUUUCUUUAUUUUAUUUUGUACUAUUUUUAUCAAUAAAUCUCAGCAACAAAGGAAAAAAAAACA